CAGUAUUUAGUUUAAAUUAAAAUUUUAAUUUUGGAUAUUAAGGAUGUAUUGUAUUAUUAUACUGA
rnacentral:tRNA from 1 species